UGGGGAAUUUUGGACAAUGGGCGCAAGCCUGAUCCAGCAAUGCCGCGUGCAGGAUGAAGGCCUUCGGGUUGUAAACUGCUUUUGUACGAAGCGAAAAGGUCUGCCCUAAUACGGUGGUCUCACGACGGUACCGUAAGAAUAAGCACCGGCUAACUACGUGCCAGCAGCCGCGGUAAUACGUAGGGUGCGAGCGUUAAUCGGAAUUACUGGGCGUAAAGCGUGCGCAGGCGGUUAUAUAAGACAGAUGUGUAAUCCCCGGGCUCAUCCUGGGACCUGCAUUAGUGACUGUAUAGCUAGAGUACGGUAGAGGGGGGUGGAAUUCCGCGUGUAGCAGUGAAAUGCGUAGAUAUGCGGAGGAACACCGAUGGCGAAGGCAAUCCCCUAGACCUGUACUGACGCUCAUGCACGAAAGCGUGGGGAGCAAACA
rnacentral:rRNA from 1 species